rnacentral:pre_miRNA from 1 species
ACAAUGGGCCGAAUCCAAAGCCCAUUGAAGUCAAUGGGAGUUUUCCACUGACUUCAGUGGGCUUUGGAUCAUCCCCAAUGU